rnacentral:rRNA from 1 species
UACGGGGGGGGCAAGCGUUGUUCGGAAUUACCGGGCGUAAAGGGCUCGUAGGCGGCCAACUAAGUCGGACGUGAAAUCCCCAGGCUCAACCUGGGAACUGCGUCCGAUACUGGAUGGCUUGAAUCCGGGAGAGGGAUGCAGAAUUCCAGGUGUAGCGGUGAAAUGCGUAGAUAUCUGGAGGAAUACCGGUGGCGAAGGCGGCAUCCUGGACCGGCAUUGACGCUGAGGAGCGAAAGCCAGGGGAGCAAACGGG